rnacentral:rRNA from 1 species
UACAGAGGGGCAAGCGUUGUUCGGAAUUACUGGGCGUAAAGGGCGCGUAGGCGGCCUGCUAAGUCGAACGUGAAAUCCCUGGGCUCAACCCAGGAACUGCGUCCGAUACUGGUUGGCUUGAAUCCGGGAGAGGGAUGUGGAAGUUCCAGGUGUAGCGGUGAAAUGACGUAGAUAUCUGGAGGAACACCGGUGGCGAAGGCGAACAUCCGUGGACCGGUAGUUGACGCUGAUGCGCGAAAGCUAAGGGGAGCAAACGGGGAU